rnacentral:lncRNA from 1 species
CAAAAUCCAAGAUCAGUUAGAAAGGGCGUCCUGGACAGUGCGCUUCUGGACCCUCCUCUUGGGGAUAGCCGCGAAAAGACGAGGGGCAAGAUCAGCAAUGCAUUGUCCAUUGAGCCACCGAUCAGUCCAGAAAAGAGUAUUCACACCAUCUCCAGUUAUAGAAGUCACUGCCAUUGAGAAGAAGACUCUCACUUGCUCAGGCACAUGGAAGGGUAGAGCAGUCCAAGGACGAAGAGGCUCUGUUUUCUGCAGCCAUAGCCAUCUCAUACGCAGGGACCAG